rnacentral:rRNA from 2 species
CAUAAAACCGUUCUCAGUUCGGAUUGCAGGCUGCAACUCGCCUGCAUGAAGCUGGAAUCGCUAGUAAUCGCGGAUCAGCAUGCCGCGGUGAAUACGUUCCCGGGCCUUGUACACACCGCCCGUCACACCACGAGAGUUUGUAACACCCGAAGUCGGUGAGGUAACCUUUUGGAGCCAGCCGCCUAAGGUGGGACAGAUGAUUGGGGUGAAGUCGUAACAAGGUAGCCGUAUCGGAAGGUGCGGCUGGAUCACCUCCUUUCUAAGGA